rnacentral:rRNA from 1 species
UCGCCAUUCCGCGGCGCACCUGGGUGUGUUCGAUGUUAUCGGCCUCGGUCGGUGGCACGGCUCACUUCGGUAGUGUCCGUGGACGGCGUGCACUUCUCUCUUAAGUAAUAACAUACGCGAACCCGUUCCGAUUGUCGGCCUUAAGCGCCGUUUCGGGAGACCCAUGCGUUCUUCCGGAUCGAGUGGACCUUAACGGACGCCGGCCGGCCCGUUGGACGGUAUAUUAUGUGAAUCGCGCACGCUUUUAGCGUUCCGGCCCGACGCAAGGUUAUGCAUCCGUCGAUUUCCUGCCCCAUGUGCGGACGUUGGCGCUGCGUGCCUGUUGUCUCUGCCGUGCAGUCUCGGACUGUGUGCGUCUCUGUCUGCGAUGUUUCCGUUUCGGGCACUCGCAGGACCCGUCUUGAAACACGGGACAAAA